rnacentral:rRNA from 1 species
AUACGGAGGGUGCAAGCGUUGCUCGGAAUUACUGGGCGUAAAGCGUACGCAGGCGGCCUGAUAAGUCGGAUGUGAAAUCCCCAAGCUCAACUUGGGAACUGCAUCCGAAACUGUCUGGCUUGAGUUCGGGAGAGGGAAGUGGAAUUCCUGGUGUAGAGGUGAAAUUCGUUGAUAUCAGGAGGAACACCGGCGGCGAAAGCGGCUUCCUGGCCCGAUACUGACGCUCAUGUACGAAAGCGUGGGGAGCAAACAGGAUUAGAUACCCUGGUAGUCCACGCCGUAAACGAUGAGUGCUAGGUGUUGGAGGUAUUCACCCCUUCAGUGCCGUAGCUAACGCAUUAAGCACUCCGCCUGGGGAGUACGGCCGCAAGGUUAAA